GGAGGGUGCAAGCGUUACCCGGAAUUAUUGGGCGUAAAGCGUCCGCAGGCGGUUUUUUAAGUCGAAUAUUAAAUUUUGAGGCCCAACCUCAAUCCUGUAUUUGAAACUGGAAAACUAGAGUCUUUCAGAGGCAUGUGGAAUUCUGUGUGUAGGGGUAAAAUCCGUAGAUACACAGAGGAACACCAAAAGCGAAGGCAGCAUGCUGGGAAAGUACUGACGCUCAUGGACGAAAGCGUAGGUAGCGAACGGGAUUAGAUACCCCGGUAGUCUACGCCGUAAACGAUGGAUACUAGGUGUUGAGGGACUCGACCCCCCUCAGUGCCCGACGCUAACGCAUUAAGUAUCCCGCCUGGGGAGUACGAUCGCAAGAUUA
rnacentral:rRNA from 1 species